CAAAGUCAAGGACUGAGAUGCUGGU
rnacentral:piRNA from 2 species